UUAAAUCUUCAGGGCAGGGUGUAAUUCCCGACCGGUGGUAAAGUCCACGAGCUGCUAAUGCAGUUGACUUGGUGAAAUUCCAAGACCGACAGUAAAGUCUGGAUGAAAGAAGAAAAAU
rnacentral:ncRNA from 2 species